rnacentral:hammerhead_ribozyme from 1 species
UCACUGCUGACGAGUCCAAAACGGAACGAAACAACUGUCCAGUGU